AGGUGAACCUGCGGAAGGAUCAUUGUCGUGGAAAAGAGCAACCAUGCGAACCCGUUUUGUCACUCUUCGCUCGACGGAUGCGCCCUCCGGCCCGAUGCCCUUGGAUGCGGUCCUUGCGCUUCCGCAUGGGCGUCGGCGGGGGGGUGCGCGGCCAGCCGAGCGACACCCACAGGGCGCAGCGCGCGCCAAGCACUUGAAGCGAAAAGGUGCGGAGUCCUUGGCCGUUGCUUUGCUCCUUCAUUCCAGUCGGGGCGUGGCAUCGAUGUUGGGGACACCUCCGCACCGCUCCGAUCAUAUAGACGACUCUCGGCAACGGAUAUCUCGGCUCUUGCAUCGAUGAAGAACGUAGCGAGAUGCGAUACGUGGUGUGAAUUGCAGAAUCCCGUGAACCAUCGAGUCUUUGAACGCAAGUUGCGCCCGAGGCCACUCGGCCGAGGGCACGCCUGCCUGGGCGUCACGCCCCCGUUCGCUCCCUCAAGGCACGCCCUGCCUCGGGGAUGCGGAGAUUGGCCGCCCGUUGUGCGAAUCGAAGGCGAGCGGUUGGCCCAAAUGCAGGUCAAAGUGCGGUGCGGCACGACGCGCGUUGGUUUAGCAGCGCGGUUGAUCGCUGAUCGGUCGCCGCGCCCGUGUCAUGCCGCUCGCGGUGCGACCCGUGGGACGCAACUUGCCCGCUACGGCGGGCACUCGGACCGCGACCCCAGGUCAGGCGGGACCACCCGCUGAGUUUAAGCAUAUCAAUAAGCGGAGGAGAAGAAACUUACGAGGAUUCCCC
rnacentral:sRNA from 1 species